UUGCAGUCUGCCAACGAGGAAUCAAAAGCAGUCACAAAAGCAAGCGCCAUGAAAGCAAUCAAGCAGCGAAUGGAGAAAGACAUUGACCAAGUCGGCAAAAUUGCUCGUAUGGCGAAAACAAAAGUUGAUGAACUGGACAAAGAUAACUUAUCUAACAGGAAGAAACCUGGAUGCGAGGAGGACUCUGCGGUUGAUCGAUCAAGGGAACAGACUACUGGAGCAGUGAAAAAGAAACUGAAGAAACGGAUGGACGAUUUUCAGGUGUUGAGAGAAUCAAUCCGGCAGGAGUACCGGGAAGUCGUUGAAAGAAGGGUAUUCACUGUAACUGGUAAUCGCCCUGAUGAAGAGACAAUUGACGAUUUAAUCGAGACAGGGAGAAGCGAGCAGAUUUUCAAAGAUGCGGUUCAGCAGCAGGGGAGAGGCCAGGUAUUGGAGACUGUUGCUGAGAUACAGGAGCGGCAUGAUGCUGUAAGAGAUCUAGAGAGGAAGCUUCUGGAGUUGCAGCAGAUAUUCCUGGAUAUGGCGGUGUUGGUUGAGGCUCAAGGAGACAUGCUCAACCACAUAGAGACACAUGUUUCAAAUGCUACCAACCACAUACAGCAAGGCGUGGGUGCUCUCCAGAAGGCAAAGGCGCUUCAGAAGAACUCGAGAAAGUGGAUGUGCUACGCCAUCAUCCUUCUGCUGGUGGUAGUGGCUAUCGUCGUGCUCGGGGUGAUCCAGCCAUGGAAGAAGAAGUAA
rnacentral:rRNA from 1 species